UACGUAGGUGGCAAGCGUUAUCCGGAAUUACUGGGCGUAAAGAGCGCGCAGGCGGUCGUUCAAGUCGCGUGUGAAAGCCCCCGGCUCAACUGGGGAGGGUCACGCGAUACUGAUCGACUCGAAGGCAGGAGAGGGUAGUGGAAUUCCCGGUGUAGGGGUGAAAUGCGUAGAUAUCGGGAGGAACACCAGUGGCGAAGGCGACUACCUGGCCUGUUCUUGACGCUGAGGCGCGAAAGCUAGGGGAGCAAACGGG
rnacentral:rRNA from 1 species